rnacentral:rRNA from 1 species
GUGGGGAAUAUUGGACAAUGGGCGAAAGCCUGAUCCAGCCAUGCCGCGUGUGUGAAGAAGGUCUUCGGAUUGUAAAGCACUUUAAGUUGGGAGGAAGGGUAGUAACCUAAUACGUUGCUACUUUGACGUUACCGACAGAAUAAGCACCGGCUAACUUCGUGCCAGCAGCCGCGGUAAUACGAAGGGUGCAAGCGUUAAUCGGAAUUACUGGGCGUAAAGCGCGCGUAGGUGGUUCAGUAAGUUGGAAGUGAAAUCCCCGGGCUCAACCUGGGAACUGCUUUCAAAACUGCUGAGCUAGAGUACGGUAGAGGGUGGUGGAAUUUCCUAGGUAGCGGUGAAAUGCGUAGAUAUAGGAAGGAACACCAGUGGCGAAGGCGACCACCUGGACUGAUACUGACACUGAGGUGCGAAAGCGUGGGGAGCAAACAGGAUUAGAUACCCCAGUAGUCC